rnacentral:rRNA from 1 species
CCUACGGGAGGCAGCAGUGAGGAAUAUUGGUCAAUGGUCGGGAGACUGAACCAGCCAAGCCGCGUGAGGGAUGAAGGUACAGAGUAUCGUAAACCUCUUUUGUCAGGGAACAAAGGCGGGGACGUGUCCCCGGAUGAGUGUACCUGAAGAAAAAGCAUCGGCUAACUCCGUGCCAGCAGCCGCGGUAAUACGGAGGAUGCGAGCGUUAUCCGGAUUUAUUGGGUUUAAGGGGUGCGCAGGCGGUCUGUUAAGUCAGCGGGAAAAGCCGGGGGCACAACCCCGGCCCGCCGUUGAAACUGGCAGUCUCGAGUUGGAGAGAAGUAUGCGGAAUGCGCGGUGUAGCGGUGAAAUGCUUAGAUAUCACGCAGAACUCCGAUUGCGAAGGCAGCAUGCCGGCUCCACACUGACGCUGAGGCACGAAAGCGUGGGUAUCGAACAGGAUUAGAUACCCGGGUAGUC